rnacentral:rRNA from 1 species
CCCCGCACAAGCAGCGGAGCGUGUGGUUUAAUUCGAUGUUACACGAAGAACCUUACCUGGGUUUUGACAUGCUAGUGGUAAUGAAGCGAAAGCUAAGUGACCCGCAAGGGAGCUAGCACAGGUGCUGCAUGGCUGUCGUCAGCUCGUGUCGUGAGAUGUUCGGUUAAGUCCGCUAACGAGCGCAACCCUCGCUGUGUGUUACAAGUGUCACACAGGACCGCCGGUCUUAAGCCGGAGGAAGGUGGGGAUGACGUCAAGUCAGCAUGGCCUUUAUGUCCAGGGCUACACACACGCUACAAUGGUCAGCACAAUAGGUAGCCAAGCCGCGAGGUGGAGCCAAUCCUCAAAGCUGGCCUCAGUUCAGAUUGCAGGCUGCAACCCGCCUGCAUGAAGAUGGAGUUGCUAGUAACCGCAGGUCAGCUAUACUGCGGUGAAUACGUUCCCGGGGCUU